UUUCUUUACCGUAUCAUAUUUAUUUAUUUAUUUACUUUAAUUCUCCCCGUAAGUGUCUGUGAGAAGUGAAAAACAAUCGGAGGUAGGCGAUUUCUGGAGAGAACCGCCGUGUGCGCACUCGCUUGCCCAUAUGGAGAAAAUUAUCCAUCCAGUUCAGUUUUUCGUUGGAUUGCAGCAUCAAACAGACCAGACCUAGCAGGACCCGGGAGAAAGAGUCACUUUCGAUGUCCGGCUGCUACUCCUGAACUGGGAGUGAGGAAGAGGAUGGCUCCGGGGCCGCCCUGCCUGCCGCCGACAGCCCCGGGCCGUGCCCACCGAGCUCACCGGCUCCAGGGCAAAACCCCGCCGCUGCCCUGCUCCUUGGCACCGGCGGCUGCAGCACGGAUCAGUGUGUCUAGGUGCUGACAGAGAGGUCUGGUCGCAGUGGACCACGGUCCGUGUCCCCUCGCUGCUCGGUGCGCGCCCGCGCGCGGAAGAGGGAGCCGCGUUUCUGCGGUGGGUCUCCGCAGCGGGCUGACCUUUCCCGCGGUUCCUGCGGCGGGAAGAGCCAAGUAUCCCCCCCGUUUGUAGGCUACACCGGUGGAAAGUUUUCUAAAACUCCGAAACAAGGUUUUUCCUUUUUUUUUCUCCCCUUCCAGGAAAGAAAAUAAAAUAAUAAUAAAAAAGAAAUCUAGACAAUAUAAGUGCCUUUAGUUCAGAACUACUCCAGGGAGCAUCCAACACAACGUAACUGAGCGGUAGCCCGAUGGAAUCACGCACACACAUUUGAAGGAAAUACCCCCAUGUAUAUGUUUUACAUACAUUAUGCAUGUAGAAAAAGCCACCCCGGGCCUCGGGGGCCUGAAACAUCCACGGAAACCGCUGAUUUUGCUUUAGGAGCUCUGUUUUAUAACAGUCUGUACGACUUCCCCAGCGCGCACAUCCCUGCGAGAUUGAAUAUUUGGGAACACACAUCAUCUAGGGAAGGAAUUCAGCGAGGUUAUGCGUGUCAGAGCGGGAUACUUAUGUUCCUAUUCCAAGAUGCCACUGCAAGCAAUUAUGUACUUCAAGUCCUCGGAAAAAGAAAAAAAAUGAAGUAUUUUAAACGAAAUACGUAUUAAUUAGGGGCCUAAAUGACACUUUAAUGUGCUAAUAUAGAAUCGUUAUAAGCUUGGAGAAUUAUUUGAGAGUUGUUCCGUCUCUCUUACUGCAAACUCCUUC
rnacentral:lncRNA from 1 species